CCUUGGCGUUCGUAAAAGCUUGGGCCCAUUAUCUUCCAUCACUCUCCAAGAUUCAGUGAAGAUUUGCCCUGCAUAUAGACAAUGGGGCAGCAUAACAGGUGAUCAGUUUCCAGCGUCCCACCCGGUCCAGAUUGCAAUCCACCCCUCCCCAAACAAAAAAGAAGUGUGAAUGAGCAAGGCAGGCAGAGGGGUGCCGUGCUGAUUCAGAGCAUCUGGCCCUGCCGCAUACAUCGCCAAUACCCCUGGGCAAUCUACAAAGGGACACACACAAAGCACGCACACUGCCAAGCUCAGGCCCGCGGGAGCACAAGGCCCACCCGUCAUCCGCUUGAGCAAGAAAGAGUAGCGUCAAAAGAAACAGGCCGUGGGAUUAUUGACAGCGCGGUAAAAAACCUCCAGCAAGGCAGAUCGAGCGAGCGAGAUCGAAAGCGGGAUGCAGAUGCCCUCGCUAGGCGGGUAGCCUAGCAGGGUUUAUAUGUUCAAUUAUGUAGGAGGACCCAAAGCUCAAAAUGUAUGAAAGAAAGAGCUUCCCCUUGUAUGAGGCAUUGGGUGUGCUCUAUGAAGGGCACAUUGCUCAAGGAAGGCAUUGCCUCACAUCAAGGAAGCCUCCGAUUGUCACAAAAUCAGGUAGCAACUUUGGAGCAAAGGAGAAGAUGGUUGCCAGCACUAGCAAAAAAUAAAGACAUGGAAGAGAUGACAGCAUGAGGACUCCUUCGAUAAUUGGUAUCAAUGAUACUCCUGCAUUGGAUGAUGUGGAUGAAAGAGAAAACUCCGCCUGUGACGAGGAAGAAUUUGGCAGUGAAGAUGCUGAUGGCGAUCAACCACAAAUAAGUGAAUCAAAGGAAAGAAAACCAAGAAACAAAAAGGUGCCACAUCUGUACAGCGCCUUGAACAUUCAAUGAUGGCUUAUGUGAACUUCAAGAAAGAGCAAGCUACCAAGAAGGAGAAAGUGUCACAACAAGGAAAACAACCCUCAAUUACAGAAUGCUUGGAGGUCUUGAAUGACAUGGAUGAUGUGCCCGACGAGGUGAAAAUCUUUGCCUCUGAUGUUUUCAAAGAUGCAGCAAACCGUGAGAUUUUCCUGGGUUACAACUCAAGGUUACGGGGUAUGUGGUUAAAGAAGGAAGUCGGCAAGAUUAGUCCUCAGUCUUCUCCAUCUCAGUUUUCAUGUGGCGGUAUUUCUUCAAUCAAUCUUGUGCUCUAAUUGAAGGUGUGGCCUGCACCUAAUUAUCGUUACAGAUGUGGGAAUCCCAUGGCAAUUUUGUGAAAUUCAACCGCUUCUGCUACAAUCUGCUCACCAUCAUAGCAAGUCCAAUGUUGCUAAUUCUUGCAAGCAAUUCAUUUCGUUAAGGCCGUAGAUGUUUCUUGCAAACAAUCUGGCAAGAUUUUCUGUAAUAAUUCUAGAAAGGAGUGACUGGUUCUUGUGUUUAUGUUCAGAUUUCUAAAGCAGAUGAAUGAUGUUAGCUAUUAGUUGUUGGAUUUUGAAUCAAAUAUCUCUCAUUUGUAAAGGAUAAGAAUCAGAAAGACUCACAUUUGUUAUGGCAUUCAAUGUUCAUUGCGAUGUGAGCAAAGAUGGUUUUCAGUA